rnacentral:rRNA from 1 species
GAUGAACGCUGGCGGCGUGCCUAAUACAUGCAAGUCGAGCGAACAGAUAAGGAGCUUGCUCCUUUGACGUUAGCGGCGGACGGGUGAGUAACACGUGGGUAACCUACCUAUAAGACUGGAAUAACUCCGGGAAACCGGGGCUAAUGCCGGAUAACAUUUAGAACCGCAUGGUUCUAAAGUGAAAGAUGGUUUUGCUAUCACUUAUAGAUGGACCCGCGCCGUAUUAGCUAGUUGGUAAGAUAACGGCUUACCAAGGCAACGAUACGUAGCCGACCUGAGAGGGUGAUCGGCCACACUGGAACUGAGACACGGUCCAGACUCCUACGGGAGGCAGCAGUAGGGAAUCUUCCGCAAUGGGCGAAAGCCUGACGGAGCAACGCCGCGUGAGUGAUGAAGGUCUUCGGAUCGUAAAACUCUGUUAUUAGGGAAGAACAAAUGUGUAAGUAACUGUGCACGUCUUGACGGUACCUAAUCAGAAAGCCACGGCUAACUACGUG